UACGUAGGGUGCGAGCGUUAAUCGGAAUUACUGGGCGUAAAGCGUGCGCAGGCGGCGCGUUAAGACAGGUGUGAAAGCCCCGAGCUUAACUUGGGAAUUGCGCUUGUGACUGGCGUGCUGGAGUGUGGCAGAGGGAGGUGGAAUUCCACGUGUAGCAGUGAAAAUGCGUAGAGAUGUGGAGGAACACCGAUGGCGAAAGGCAGCCCUCCUGGGGCCAGCACUGACGCUCAUGCACGAAAAGCGUGGGGGAGCAAAACAGG
rnacentral:rRNA from 1 species